rnacentral:lncRNA from 1 species
GCAAGCCAGUAAGUAACAUCCCUCCAUGGCCUCUGCAUCAGCUCCUGCUUCCUGACCAGCUUGAAUUCCAGUCCUGACUUCCUUUGGUGAUGAACAGCAGCAUGGAAGUGUAAGCCGAAUAAACCCUUUCCUCCCCAACUUGCUUCUUGGUCAUGAUGUUUGUGCAGGAAUAGAAACCCUGACUAAGACAUUGGUACCAGCAGAGUGGGGUAUGUUUUGGGGAGGUCUGUGGAAGGACUUUGGAACUUUGGGCUUGAGUUAAGAGCUCUGUCAGAUGUUUUGUAGGAGCUUGGAAGACAGUGCAGAAGAUGGAGGCCUGGCUUGUGAAAUUUCAGAGGGAAAAUAAAAAGACUCUUUUCAGGGCCAUUGUUGUUUUGAUUGUGAAGAUUCUGUAGUUCUGGUUAGCUGGGGCUGAAGAAUCAGCUGUGAUUAACAAGAUACCAGAACUACUAAAGCAAAAACUUUGCAUUACUGGGACUAUUGAUGCUGGUUAGCUGGAGCUAAGAAAUUAGCGGUGAUUAAGAAGAGACCAGCAUCAUUGAGGUGACAUCUUCUGGGAAGUGUUUUCUGAGGGCACAGUGGCUGUGUUCCAGAUAUAGCCAAAGUUGUACCUUGUGCUGUGGCUGGACUUGGUAAUGUGUAAGGGUCACCCAGGUGGUACUGGUUUUGAAGGCAUGAAGGGGUCACGCAAAGCAGCUGAGGCUCGGCACUGUGAGAGGCCAUGGAAGGCCAUUGGUGAAAGUGCAGCCUCAGUUGCAAUUGAUGGCCCAGGACUGAAGGGGUCAUGCAGUGUUUUGGAGAUGCCAGUACCAUGAGAUGACCACCAAGAGCAGCAGCAGCAGUGGGGUACAGGCAUCUGGAGCCUAGAGGAUGACACGUGUGCUACAAAGGGCCUGGCUGGAGAAGUGACCCAAGCCCUUGGAGGAGCCCAGAAGAUCGUGAGUUGGAUCCCAGACAUUGGACAGUUGGAGAUUGACUUUUGCUUUUGAUUGUGACUGUGCCCUGAUAUUUUCCCUCUUGAAGGAAGAAACUGUUUUAGUGGAGCCCACAGUUAAGAGACUUUUAAUUGUAAAAAAACUUUGGAUUUUAAAAAAGAUGGAUAUUUUAAAGAGAUUGAAAUUUUAAGAAUAUGUAAAGGCUGUGGGACUUUUAAAGUUAUUUAGAUCUUGAGGAUGAAUAAGAUUGUAAGGGUUGAGGCUUACUAGUGAUAUUUUUGUGUGUCAAGUUGACAAGGGGUCAAUUGUACUAGCUAGUUUUGUGUCAACUUGACACAGCUGGAGUUAUCACAGAGAAAGGAGCUU